ACGAACGCUGGCGGCACGCUUAACACAUGCAAGUCGAACGAGAGAAGAGGAGCUUGCUUUUCUGAUCUAGUGGCGGACGGGUGAGUAACACGUGAGCAAUCUGCCUUUCAGAGGGGGAUACCGAUUGGAAACGAUCGUUAAUACCGCAUAACAUAAUUGAACCGCAUGAUUUGAUUAUCAAAGAUUUAUCGCUGAAAGAUGAGCUCGCGUCUGAUUAGCUAGUUGGUAAGGUAACGGCUUACCAAGGCGACGAUCAGUAGCCGGACUGAGAGGUUGAUCGGCCACAUUGGGACUGAGACACGGCCCAGACUCCUACGGGAGGCAGCAGUGGGGAAUAUUGCACAAUGGAGGAAACUCUGAUGCAGCGAUGCCGCGUGAGGGAAGAAGGUUUUAGGAUUGUAAACCUCUGUCUUCAGGGACGAAGAAAGACGGUACCUGAGGAGGAAGCUCCGGCUAACUACGUGCCAGCAGCCGCGGUAAUACGUAGGGAGCGAGCGUUGUCCGGAAUUACUGGGUGUAAAGGGAGCGUAGGCGGGAUCGCAAGUCAGAUGUGAAAACUAUGGGCUUAACCCAUAAACUGCAUUUGAAACUGUGGUUCUUGAGUGAAGUAGAGGUAAGCGGAAUUCCUAGUGUAGCGGUGAAAUGCGUAGAUAUUAGGAGGAACAUCAGUGGCGAAGGCGGCUUACUGGGCUUUAACUGACGCUGAGGCUCGAAAGCGUGGGGAGCAAACAGGAUUAGAUACCCUGGUAGUCCACGCCGUAAACGAUGAUUACUAGGUGUGGGGGGACUGACCCCUUCCGUGCCGCAGCAAACGCAAUAAGUAAUCCACCUGGGGAGUACGACCGCAAGGUUGAAACUCAAAGGAAUUGACGGGGGCCCGCACAAGCAGUGGAGUAUGUGGAUUAAUUCGAAGCAACGCGAAGAACCUUACCAGGUCUUGACAUCGUAUGCAUAGCUCAGAGAUGAGUGAAAUCUCUUCGGAGACAUAUAGACAGGUGGUGCAUGGUUGUCGUCAGCUCGUGUCGUGAGAUGUUGGGUUAAGUCCCGCAACGAGCGCAACCCUUACUGUUAGUUGCUACGCAAGAGCACUCUAGCAGGACUGCCGUUGACAAAACGGAGGAAGGUGGGGAUGACGUCAAAUCAUCAUGCCCCUUAUGACCUGGGCCUCACACGUACUACAAUGGCUGUCAACAGAGGGAAGCAAAGCCGCGAGGUGGAGCAAACCCCUAAAAGCAGUCUUAGUUCGGAUUGUAGGCUGCAACCCGCCUACAUGAAGUCGGAAUUGCUAGUAAUCGCAGAUCAGCAUGCUGCGGUGAAUACGUUCCCGGGCCUUGUACACACCGCCCGUCACGCCAUGGGAGUCGGUAACACCCGAAGCCUGUAGUCUAACCGCAAGGAGGACGCAGUCGAAGGUGGGAUUGAUGACUGGGGUG
rnacentral:rRNA from 1 species